GUCCACGCCCUAAACGAUGAUGACUAGUUGUUGGAGGAGUUAAAUCCUUUAGUAACGCAGCUAACGCGCGAAGUCAUCCGCCUGGGGAGUACGGUCGCAAGAUUAAAACUCAAAGGAAUUGACGGGGGCCCGCACAAGCGGUGGAUGAUGUGGUUUAAUUCGAUGCAACGCGAAAAACCUUACCUACCCUUGACAUGUGCGGAACUCUGCAGAAAUGCAGAGGUGCCCGAAAGGGAACCGCAACACAGGUGCUGCAUGGCUGUCGU
rnacentral:rRNA from 1 species